AUGUGCUUCUCGGAUUCAACCCUCACCAUGAACGACGGGACAUUGACGAUCUGCCUGCCAACCCUGCAAUCUGAUGUGGCGUUGCCUGAUCAAGACACGGGCAUGGUGGAUGGAUUUUGCCAUGCCAGCCUUGAAGACAAGAGUCUGAAGGCGCCUUGCAAGGAAGUUCUCAGCAGUCAGGGCAAGGACGUAAUCAAGCUUGUCCUGGCCCUCAGCAAGGAGACCAUAGCGGUUCAUGCGACGGAGAAGAGCCGCGCCCUCAAAGAUACGGCGGGGAUUCUUCUCAUCCAGUGUGAGCAAGUGUCUUGCCGCAUUACGGAUCCUGCUCAAUGCAUACUGAACCCUCCAGAGCUCACGCUUGCACCUCAGUCCAUACUCACCAACCAGCUUUAG
rnacentral:rRNA from 1 species